AUGGCAAUGGCAAUGGCCUCUUCUCUGUCGGUGCUGUUGCUCCUGUGCCUGGCGGCAUCGUCCUCGGCGCAGCUUUCGCCUAGGUUCUACGCGACGUCGUGCCCCAGGGCGCUGGCCAUCAUCAGGAGGGGUGUGGCGGCCGCCGUGAGGAGUGAGCGCCGCAUGGGAGCGUCGCUGCUCCGGCUGCAUUUCCACGACUGCUUUGUCCAAGUUAACAUACCUUCCUAUAUGUUCUUGUUGCCCCGCUACGUAAAUCACGGCUGCGACGCGUCCGUACUGCUGAGCGACACCGCCAGCUUCACCGGCGAGCAGGGGGCAGCUCCGAACGCCGGCUCAAUUCGUGGCAUGAACGUCAUCGACAACAUCAAGGCGCAGGUCGAGGCCGUGUGCACGCAGACUGUCUCGUGCGCCGACAUCCUCGCCGUGGCCGCCCGCGACUCCGUCGUCACCUUGGGAGGGCCUUCGUGGACCGUUCCUCUGGGAAGGAGGGACUCGACGACGGCGAGCUUGUCUCUGGCCAACAGCGACCUUCCGCCGCCAUCCUUCGACGUGGCCAACCUCACGGCCAACUUCGCCGCCAAGGGGCUCAGCGUGACCGACAUGGUCGCCCUCUCUGGCGCCCACACCAUCGGACAAUCGCAGUGCCGGUUUUUCAGGAGCAGGCUCUACAACGAGACCAACAUCGGUACGGCCUUCGCAACAUCUCUCAAGGCCAACUGUCCCCGGCCGACCGGGUCCGGCGACAGCAGCCUGGCACCGCUGGACACGACGACGCCCAACGCGUUCGACAACGCGUACUACCGCAACUUGAUGUCACAGAAGGGGCUCCUGCACUCUGACCAGGUUCUGAUCAACGACGGACGCACCGCGGGCCUGGUCCGGACGUACUCGUCGGGGUCGGCGCAGUUUAACAGGGACUUCAGGGCGGCCAUGGUCAGGAUGGGGAACAUCAGCCCGCUCACCGGGACGCAGGGGCAGGUCAGGCUCAGCUGCUCCAGGGUGAACUAA
rnacentral:rRNA from 1 species